rnacentral:rRNA from 1 species
UACGUAGGUGGCAAGCGUUAUCCGGAAUUAUUGGGCGUAAAGCGCGCGCAGGUGGUUUCUUAAGUCUGAUGUGAAAGCCCACGGCUCAACCGUGGAGGGUCAUUGGAAACUGGGAGACUUGAGUGCAGAAGAGGAAAGUGGAAUUCCAUGUGUAGCGGUGAAAUGCGUAGAGAUAUGGAGGAACACCAGUGGCGAAUGCGACUUUCUGGUCUGUAACUGACACUGAGGCGCGAAAGCGUGGGGAGCAAACAGG